UACGUACGAGGCAAGCGUUAUCCGGAAUUACUGGGCGUAAAGCGCGCGCAGGCGGACGUUUAAGUAGGGCGUGAAAUCUCCCGGCCUAACUGGGAGGGGUCGCUCUAGGACUGGGCGUCUUGAGGACUGCAGAGGUGGGUGGAAUUCCUGGUGUAGUGGUGAAAUGCGUAGAGAUCAGGAGGAACACCGGUGGCGAAGGCGGCCCACUGGGCAGUCACUGACGCUGAGGCGCGAAAGCUCGGGGAGCGAACGGG
rnacentral:rRNA from 1 species